rnacentral:rRNA from 1 species
CCUACGGGUGGCAGCAGUGGGGAAUAUUGCACAAUGGGGGAAACCCUGAUGCAGCGACGCCGCGUGAGUGAAGAAGUAAUUCGUUAUGUAAAGCUCUAUCAGCCGGGAAGCAAAUGACGGUACCUGAGUAAGAAGCCCCGGCUAACUACGAGCCAGCAGCCGCGGUAAUAUGUAGGGGGCAAGCGUUAUCCGGAUUUAAUGGGGGUAAAGGGAGCGUAGACGGCAGUGCAAGUCUGGAGUGAAAGGCGGGGGCUCAACCCCAGGACGGCUCUGGAAACUGUACGGCUGGAGAGACGGAGAGGUAAGUGGAAUGCGUAGUGUAGCGGUGAAAUGCGUAGAUAUUAGGAAGAACACCAGUGGCGAAGGCAGCUUACUGGACGGUAACUGACGUUGAGGCUCGAAAGCGUGGGGAGCGAACAGGAUUAGAUACCCUAGUAGUC